ensembl:lncRNA
GUCCAGGUGGUUGAGUAUCAGAUUGUUCCAUCUCAUUUCCUUUUGGGGUUGCUGUAGGUGAUCCAGAAGUCUGUUUUUGAGACUUGUUUACUUGUCUUCUCAUUUCCACGGGAGGAGGUGCUACUGGCACUCAUGCGGCUCACCUUCUCUGCCCUAGGAGCUUGGGAUGGCAGCGGUGGAGCUUCCUUCUGGGUGCUGGGACCAGCUGAGCUUCUCUGCCCUAAGAGCCUAGGAUGGAGGCGGGGAGCUUCCUUCCAGGGGCUAAGAUAAAACACGGAAGUAUGCUUUGAAAACUGUGGAAUAAUGUACAGAGGAGUUUUAAAAUGGUUAAAAUCAAUGGAUUACUGAAGGUCAAGAAUUAGGCUCCUUUGCAGCCAGAAGAUUCAUUUACAAGAUACAGGUUCACAUGAUUGCAAGUUAGUGUUGACUGUGGUCUGGGAACUCAGCUGAACUUCAGCCCUGGUCUUACUUCCUCUCUCUGCGGGCCUCUCCCCAGGAAAAGUUGGUCUUCCUCAGAAUGGAGGCUGGCUUUCAAGAGUACCAGAAGCUCUAAAAAUGACAGUAUCAAACCAAUUGCUUUGGCUGGAAAGGGUAACCGGUCUUAAGACAAUCAACAAGGACUGAGUAGCAGGAACCAAGCUUUACCUUGUAUGUCAAGUACCGGAGUACCAGCACAAAAUUUUUGUGUCAAAUCCAUGAAGUGCUAAAUUCAAUGAAUUUCAAAGCAGAUGAGUACCAAGACAUCAUGAGAUGAGCUAAUCUGCGCCACCACGUGCUCUCUGCCAUUGUACUUUGCCUCACUGUAGACCCUGAAAUGAAGAAUAGAGCCAAGCAACCAUGUCUAAAAAGUCUGAAACUGUUAACAUAUACCUCCAGAUCUCUAAAAAUCAAAGAUUAAAUACUGAAAUUGAAUACAAAGAUGAAGAGAGAAAAUUCCCUAAAGGUUUCUUGGUUUGAUUUUAUUGAGGAAGUUGAGAGAUGUUGAGUUGGACCUCAAGUCAUCAUCUGACAAGAAAAAGAAAGCUACACACUGUCAUUACAACUUUCUUUGGUCAUCUUCUCUCCCAGGGUGCCACUCAUUAAACUGCCACAGUACUAACCUCACCAUGCAAGAGGGACACUGAAGGAAGAAGGGCUUCUCUUCCUGGGUCUGCUGUGCUUCUUCCUGUUUGUGUGGAUCUCACCUAGCAUGGGUGUCAUCCAGUGAAGCUCCUCUGUGAUGCAUUAAGCAUGUGGCUUUGUAAUGCUCCUAGACACUACAGAUGGUUUCUUAGAACCAAAAGACUGAGAAGCGAUAAGAAUGACUGAUAUUAAUGGCUGCUCAAGCGCGAAGAACCUGUAAUUCUCCCACCAGAGUGAUGCUUCCUUCUGCAGAUUGAGUUGAAAGGUAAUCUUUCUUACCACAGGCAAACCCUGCUGGACUGCGUCUUGGAUUUCACUAUUUCCCAGUUCUAUAGAUAUUUGGUGGUUGUGUUUACCUAUACUUCCUUCAUUCUUUUGAUUUCUAUGCUCACCCUUGCAUGGCUC